UUGUGCCAUUGAGUGCUUUAUACUGACCUUCAUGUCUGUCUUGAUAUGUUUCCCUUAUAUUUUGAUAUUGCAUGUGCCUUUGUGGUUUCCAGUGCAGUUAAAGCACACCAGUUCUUCACAAAAGAAAGCUGGGAUACCUUUAAACAGAUUUUUGAUACCUUCAUGCUUGAAGCUUCAAAGGAAUGGGUUGAGACAUGUUGAGGCAGUUCACUCCUGGAAACAAUUUAUAAGGCUCUAGAUGAGGUUGUUAAACUCUCCGAGUGCGAAAUUUAUAGUUAUAAUCCAGAUUCCAAUGCAGAUCCAUUUCUAGAGAAAGGAGCUAUUAACUUGGUGGCUGAUGGUUUCGUUGCAGACAACUU